rnacentral:sRNA from 1 species
AACAGUUUGAAAGGAGGUGAUCCAGUGUCUAUAGAGGUAUUGGAGAGAGGUGACGGAACAGUUCGGGAGGGUCUCGUCUAGGGCAGCCCCUGGGCGGACGACGCCCCCGGAUUGGUGCGCCUAACCGCACCGCCUCCUUAAACUCUAGAGGGCCGCUUCCUACCGGGGCGGCCC